rnacentral:rRNA from 1 species
GAUGAACGCUAGCGGCAGGCCUAAUACAUGCAAGUCGAGGGGUAUAGUAGCAAUACUAGAGACCGGCGCACGGGUGCGUAACGCGUAUGAAAGGUGUCCAGAACACUGGGAUAGCCCCCGGAAACGGGGAUUAAUACCGGAUGGUCUAAUAUGAUGGCAUCAUCAAAUUAAGUAAAGAUUUAUCGGUUCUGGGUCCUCAUGCGUAUGAUUAGCUAGUUGGCGGGGUAAUGGCCCACCAAGGCGACGAUCAUUAGGGGUCCUGAGAGGGACGGUCCCCCACACUGGUACUGAGACACGGGCCAGACUCCUACGGG